AUUGAACGCUGGCGGCAGGCCUAACACAUGCAAGUCGAGCGGAUGAAGGGAGCUUGCUCCUGGAUUCAGCGGCGGACGGGUGAGUAAUGCCUAGGAAUCUGCCUGGUAGUGGGGGAUAACGUCCGGAAACGGGCGCUAAUACCGUAUACGUCCUGAGGGAGAAAGUGGGGGAUCUUCGGACCUCACGCUAUCAGAUGAGCCUAGGUCGGAUUAGCUAGUUGGUGGGGUAAAGGCCUACCAAGGCGACGAUCCGUAACUGGUCUGAGAGGAUGAUCAGUCACACUGGAACUGAGACACGGUCCAGACUCCUACGGGAGGCAGCAGUGGGGAAUAUUGGACAAUGGACGAAAGCCUGAUCCAGCCAUGCCGCGUGUGUGAAGAAGGUCUUCGGAUUGUAAAGCACUUUAAGUUGGGAGGAAGGGCAGUAAGUUAAUACCUUGCUGUUUUGACGUUACCAACAGAAUAAGCACCGGCUAACUUCGUG
rnacentral:rRNA from 1 species